rnacentral:misc_RNA from 1 species
AACGCACAUUGCGCCCCGUGGUAUUCCGCGGGGCAUGCCUGUUCGAGCGUCAUUUCACCACUCGAGUCUGACUCGGUAUUGGGCGUCGCGAUCCGUCGCGCGCCUUAAAGUCUCCGGCUGGAUCGAUCGUCUCCGAGCGUUGUGAAUCAACUCGCUAGGGAGCUCGAUGGAUGUCGGCCGUUAAAUACCCCAUUAAAGGUUGACCUCGGAUCAGGUAGGGAUACCCGCUGAACUUAA